UUUUUUUUCCAAUGGCUUUUGAAUCUUUGUAAGUUAAGUAUCUGUCUUGCCCAGCAUACAAUAACUUGUUAAUUAUCACAGAGUGAACAUAAAACAUCUGCUGGAGGUUAUUCACUGAUACCAGUGAGCUAGUGAUCGGUGACAUUUCUGGUUUUCGAGACUCAAUCCUCCCAUCUAUACAGUGCUAUGAACAAGUGACCAGUAUCACAACACAUUUAGCUACAAAAGCUAAAACACAACAAA